GGCUCAGGAUGAACGCUGGCGGUAUGCUUAACACAUGCAAGUCGAACGGUCUUUUCGGAGAUAGUGGCGGACGGGUGAGUAACGCGUAAGAAUCUACCUUCAGGUUGGGGACAACCACUGGAAACGGUGGCUAAUACCCAAUGUGCCGAGAGGUGAAAGGCUUGCUGCCUGAAGAAGAGCUUGCGUCUGAUUAGCUAGUUGGUGGGGUAAGAGCCUACCAAGGCGACGAUCAGUAGCUGGUCUGAGAGGAUGAUCAGCCACACUGGGACUGAGACACGGCCCAGACUCCUACGGGAGGCAGCAGUGGGGAAUUUUCCGCAAUGGGCGAAAGCCUGACGGAGCAAUACCGCGUGAGGGAGGAAGGCUCUUGGGUUGUAAACCUCUUUUCUCAGGGAAGAAAAAAAUGACGGUACCUGAGGAAUAAGCAUCGGCUAACUCCGUGCCAGCAGCCGCGGUAAUACGGAGGAUGCAAGCGUUAUCCGGAAUGAUUGGGCGUAAAGGGUCCGCAGGUGGCAUUGUAAGUCUGCUGUUAAAGAGUCACGCUCAACGUGAUAAAAGCAGUGGAAACUACAAAGCUAGAGUAUGGUCGGGGCAGAGGGAAUUCCUGGUGUAGCGGUGAAAUGCGUAGAUAUCAGGAAGAACACCGGUGGCGAAGGCGCUCUGCUAGGCCAAAACUGACACUGAGGGACGAAAGCUAGGGGAGCGAAUGGGAUUAGAUACCCCAGUAGUCCUAGCCGUAAACGAUGGAUACUAGGCGUAGCUCGUAUCGACCCGAGCUGUGCCGUAGCUAACGCGUUAAGUAUCCCGCCUGGGGAGUACGCAGGCAACUGUGAAACUC
rnacentral:rRNA from 1 species